CACGUAGGCACCAAGCGUUGUCCGGAUUUAUUGGGCGUAAAGAGCUCGUAGGCGGUUCGGUAAGUCGGGUGUGAAAACUUUGGGCUCAACCCAAAGCGUGCACUCGAUACUGCCAUGACUAGAGUUCGGUAGGGGAGUGGGGAAUUCCUAGUGUAGCGGUGAAAUGCGUAGAUAUCAGGAGGAAUACCUAUGGCGAAAGCAGGUAUCUGGGCCACAACUGACGCUGAGCUGCGAAAGCUAGGGGAGCAAACAGG
rnacentral:rRNA from 1 species